rnacentral:lncRNA from 1 species
UCUCAAUUAAGACAUAUUUUUAUUUCAGAUUUUCUGAUGAAUGAAAAUUUUUCAAAGAAGUAUUUCACCCUGGGGCACUGAAGACAAGGAGCCUUGCUCUACACCGAGAUGCACUCUGUAACAGCCCAUAGUGGAGUGGGAUAAGACUUUGAAGCACAAAAUGUUAAGCAAUCUGAGUAGUUUGUCAGUCAAUAAAGGGGUAUAUGAUGCCAUUAUAUGUAAUAUCAAGAAAUGGGGAUGGGGGAGCAGUCACCUGUGAACAUUCACUAGGAAGUUAAGUAAAUAAAACAUUUAUAAUAAAAUAUU